rnacentral:rRNA from 1 species
UACAGAGGUCCCAAGCGUUGUUCGGAUUCACUGGGCGUAAAGGGUGCGUAGGUGGCUUGGUAAGUUUGAUGUGAAAUCUCCGGGCUUAACCCGGAAAUGGCAUUGAAUACUAUUGAGCUGGAGGUUUGGAGGGGGGGACUGGAAUUCUCGGUGUAGCAGUGAAAUGCGUAGAUAUCGAGAGGAACACCAGUGGCGAAGGCGAGUCCCUGGACAACACCUGACACUGAGGCACGAAGGCUAGGGGAGCAAACAGG